ACGUACGUAGGUAUUUAUGGUUUUGUGCAUCUUAAAAUAUAAAAGAAAUAUUAGUUAAGGAUAAUUUCUUAUUGCCUCUCUGUUAGAUUAAUAGGCUAAGGUCCAUUUAACCCCAAUAAACUCCAUAAGCCCAAUUAGUAUUAAGAGGAUUAAUAUCAUCUUGAUCUGUCGCAUAUCUCCAUAUAUCUACCCGGGAUUAAUUGACUCCCUCCUUUCAAGAAUAAUCCUCAGCCUUCUGUUCCGCGUUGCUUCUUGUCUCCCUAGUUCUGACCGCAUACACGAAUGGACAAUCAAAGUUUCUGGGGAGCGUAUUCUUGGGAGCGACUGCUCAUGAUCUUCAGCGCCCUCUUCCUCGACUGGAUCAUCAUGUCUGCUGCUGGUGGAGGCAACGGCGCUGGCAAUGGAGCAGGAUACGGCGAUAGUACCGGUGGAGCCGGGAACAACUUCAUCGAGGCAAUAACACCAACAGUGCCUCAUCUACUUAGGAGCUUAGAGCAUCUCCAGCGGUUUGGCCAUUUUUGGCUCUCAAUUUGUCUAUUUAGCCAACUUGCCAAAAAGAUUUCUCUCCAUCCCUACUGUAUGCUCCAACAGACUCUUUAUUUCUAACUCUCCAAAUCCUAACGGCUAGUUUCCUCUCCAAACAAAAUCAAUUAUGGAAUCCCAUUCAGUUUUCAGGCUUUCGGAAGGAAGACGAUCAAGCUGCAGUAUUUGAACAAAAGGUACAUUAAUCGACCAAGAUGAGAAGUCAAGUGAGCACAGAUCACAAACAAGUUGAUACGGUGAGAUUGAGACCACACAGUAGACAGUACACCAGAACUACUACCCCAUCUCCUCUGCAAAUGCCAUACAUACUACAGGAGUAAAUUCCCCAGCAAUGCACAGGGGGACAGAUGAUCACAUUCACCUUUCUGGAUUCUGAUUUCUAUUCACCCAACAACCAUAUGCAUCUCUAUCUCUAGUCAUGAACAAUCUAGAUUCAGAAGGAGAGAGGGUUAAUAUGCAUCGAAUAGUUGAACCAUGUAUCAUAGUUUAUCUUUUGUUGGCAUAUUAAGAUUGCACAAUUGUUUCAUUAGCACAUAAAACUGAGAAAGUAUAUAGGAAGUUGAAAACUAAUGUUUAUAUAAUAAAAAUUUUGGUCUUUUUUAAGAUGGCACCAAACUACUCAACAGAGUUUAUUAUUGGUCUUUUUAAGAUGGCACCAAACUACUCAACAGAGAAAAAAGAACAGAGAAACUACUCAACAUGCCUUAAACCUCUCAAUUUUUGUACUAAUUUUGAGUUCAGCCUCCAAUCAUGCUGUUACCAGCCCAAACUAUUCAACAUAGAAAAAAGAACGGUGCUUGAGAAGCAUUAGCUUUACUGCAAGCAUAUGAACAAAUGCUGGAACAGACCGUGCAGCGACUAGCUCGCUCAGCGGCGACGGACUCCAGGCCAGCGACGACGAACUGGAGAGGGCAGCGCUGCAGCGGCGGUGGCCUGGCCGGCCAGAUCUGGACGGGGGAAGAGGCGGUCUGGCCGGAAGCGGCGGCGGCCGGACGGCGGUGGACGGCUCGCUAUUUCUUCGAUGGCUGCCGCGGCUGCUGCCUAGCCGGACGGUGGUGGCGGCCGGACUGGAGAGGGGAGCAGCGGUGGGGGUGGCUGGAUCUGGACGGCUGCGGGGGGAGGGGGUCUCGCAGGACGGCGGCGUGGUUGGCCGGCCGCGGGGGCGGGAGAUCCGCGCGGCACCGGCCUCCAGUCAGGUUGGCUGGCCAAAUUUGGCCAGUUUGGGGCUGCUUUGGCCAGCCGGAUGACUUAGCCAUACAGUUGGCCAGU
rnacentral:lncRNA from 1 species